UACGUAGGGUGCAAGCGUUAAUCGGAAUUACUGGGCGUAAAGCGCGCGUAGGCGGCUUUGCAAGUCGGGUGUGAAAUCCCCCAGGCUUAACCUGGGAACUGCAUUCGAGACUGCAUUGCUAGAGUAUGGGAGAGGGACGUGGAAUUCCAGGUGUAGCGGUGAAAUGCGUAGAUAUCUGGAGGAACACCGGUGGCGAAGGCGACGUCCUGGACCGGCAUUGACGCUGAGGCGCGAAAGCCAGGGGAGCAAAGCGGG
rnacentral:rRNA from 1 species